UACGUAGGGUCCAAGCGUUAAUCGGAAUUACUGGGCGUAAAGCGUGCGCAGGCGGCUUCGCAAGUCAGACGUGAAAUCCCCGGGCUUAACCUGGGAAUGGCGUUUGAAACUACGGAGCUGGAGUGUGGCAGAGGGAGGUAGAAUUCCACGUGUAGCGGUGAAAUGCGUAGAUAUGUGGAGGAAUACCGAUGGCGAAGGCAGCCUCCUGGGCCAACACUGACGCUCAUGCACGAAAGCGUGGGGAGCAAGCAGG
rnacentral:rRNA from 1 species